rnacentral:tRNA from 1 species
CAUGGCCACGGCUCGAUUGGCGCAUGCCUGCUUGAAUCAGGCGGCGCUCAACCGAGUGCAUUGCCUGGGGCCAUACC